GAUGAACGCUGGCGGCGUGCUUAACACAUGCAAGUCGAACGGUGAAAGAGAGCUUGCUCUCUGGAUCAGUGGCGAACGGGUGAGUAACACGUGAGCAAUCUGCCCCUGACUCUGGGAUAAGCGUUGGAAACGACGUCUAAUACCGGAUACGAGCUGCGAAGGCAUCUUCAGCAGCUGGAGAGAACUUCGGUCAGGGAUGA
rnacentral:rRNA from 1 species